AUUGAACGCUGGCGGCAGGCCUAACACAUGCAAGUCGAACGGUAACAGGAAGCAGCUUGCUGCUUCGCUGACGAGUGGCGGACGGGUGAGUAAUGUCUGGGAAACUGCCUGAUGGAGGGGGAUAACUACUGGAAACGGUAGCUAAUACCGCAUAACGUCGCAAGACCAAAAAGGGGGACCUUAGGGCCUCUUGCCAUCGGAUGUGCCCAGAUGGGAUUAGCUAGUAGGUGGGGUAACGGCUCACCUAGGCGACGAUCCCUAGCUGGUCUGAGAGGAUGACCAGCCACACUGGAACUGAGACACGGUCCAGACUCCUACGGGAGGCAGCAGUGGGGAAUAUUGCACAAUGGGCGCAAGCCUGAUGCAGCCAUGCCGCGUGUAUGAAGAAGGCCUUCGGGUUGUAAAGUACUUUCAGCGGGGAGGAAGGGAGUAAAGUUAAUACCUUUGCUCAUUGACGUUACCCGCAGAAGAGGCACCGGCUAACUCCGUG
rnacentral:rRNA from 1 species